rnacentral:misc_RNA from 1 species
AAGACCUCAAAACUGUGCUAGGUGACAACUACCCUGCUUGAUCAGCCAUUUUAUUUGAUUGCAUGGAUAAAAUGCACCUUCUUGCAGUAUUGAUUCCUAGCUGCAGACAAUAAUGGAUUAUUUAUGCGUAAGAGCUACGUCAAUGUUCUUCCCGUUUUAUUGUUUUCAGCCGAGAAUGAAGGUAGGUUUUCACCCACGUUGUUUAAUCCUCUCAACUUGUGUCGACCUGUGUUUUAAUGCACAAGUUAACCUAGCCACUUUACUUUGUAACGGAUUUGUCUUUACUACCUGAAAAAGGUAAGGUUAUUUCAAUAAAGUAACUCCAAUUCAAAAUAUAGGAUGCUUAAAUAUAUGUCACUAUGCCAUGGAUGGCUUUGAACUAUAAAGAUAUUAAAAUGUUACGGUAGUUAGGAAGAGUUAUAUACAUCAGACAGCAAUACCAAUGGGGGCCUGAAAUGUAACGGGUAUAUAUAAUAAAUGUCUGUAUAAGAGAAUCCAACAACAAGGAACUUGUGAGGCACAGUUUUAUGUCUUACUGUACAGUAUUCUGAUAACCUUAACAUUGUAAACUACUGGGUAUACAUUGCUGGCUAACAACACAACAGUAAGAAUCCCAUUAAGCACGUAAUAUGAAUCGAACACCCUACCACUGAGAACCUGUUAGGGGAGGUUAUUUGUUUCAAACAUCCCUAUGAAUGGAAACCCAUUUAAAAAAAUCAUUUUGAAUGGGUUUUUUUUUAAAUGCAAGUGAUGUUAGAGACACAUACACUGUAUUACCGUAUCCAACAUGCAUCAAAUUAUGUGGUUUUUGUUUACAUAUUACAGUAUUUUACUGGUUACCAAAUUGUAGCUACACAGCUAGACAUGUUUACCUAAUAGGUUCAAAAAAGGUAUAUGGUUCAAAAAAUGUUAGUUGCAAACACAUUCGUUUCUUAAUGAUUCCCACUUUAUGGGUUGUAGGAUGCAUAUUUUUGCACCUAACAAGUUUCUUAGGAUAGGGAUAUGCAUCGUCGGAUACCCACGGGUAUCCGACGAUGAGGGAUAUGUCAAAUAAAGAUAUCUUAAACUUUCUGGUCCUAAUGGUCGGCUUGUUAGAUACGGUUCCAUAUAGUUUCACAAUCAUGGGGAUUUUGAAUAAACAUAACUGUCUAGGUUCCCCAAAGAUGGUUUGUUAAAAACGGAUCAUGGUGUCUAUUUUGUCCCUAAUGGUUGGGUUGUUAUAUAUAUCUUUAGACUUCUUAACAUAAUACCAAAAUCAGGGUUCCGAAAGGUAGGGUUGUUAAAUCGUAACUAGUUCCUGUUUGACGGGAUGUAAGAAACAGACAGCAAUGUAGUAGAUGGUCAGUUUCCAAGUGCUAGAACUACAUGUAUUUAUAUAAAUGAAAAUGAUUGGUUUCAAACGGUAGAGUUUCUAAAUCUAUAUUGAUAUUUUUACCGAGAUGUCCAUGCAGUUCUAGCACUUGGAGACUGAUCAUCUACUACAUUGUUAUCUGUUUCUUACAAAUAUCUAUAAUAACUCCACCUCCUCAAACUAUUACGUAAACGUAUUCAUAUCAUAUGAAUAUUACAGCCCUUCUAUAGGAAACAUAUUUUACACAGUUAUCUGUAUCUUACAUUCUUUCAAAUGGGACCUAAAAGUUAAAAACAAGCACAACCCUACCAAAUGGUACUGCACUGUACUCGUUUAAUAUUACCCGUCAUGCAUCUAUAAAUACAUGACGAUACCCAAUAUUCACAAGUUCCAAACGUAAGGUUUGUUAAACACCGACAACGUGUUAGAGACAGCUAACACGUAUUAAAGUUUCCUAUUUAUAGUAAUCUUCCUUUUGGAACCUAUUGGACAGUUAUAUGUUUUUAGAAUUCUUACGAUUGGGAACCCUUUUAAAAUGUAUCUAACAAGCCUGCCAUUUAGAACCAGAUAUAUCUGUAUUCUCCAUCCCUCAAAGGGGAAAUCCUUACUUAUUGUUAAAUACGAAAAGGCAUUGCUUACCUGUCAAUCUUCUACAGUUAUUUUCAGAGAAGAAAUUCGCCAUGAUAAUUUAUAUAAAUCAAGGAAUGAUGUUUUUAUCUCGAUUUAUUUGAAUACUAAACCUCACCUUAUAUGUAUGCACGAUUACGUUGAGUUAUGUCCAUAUUUACGAAUUAUUCUUCCAUUUUGGUUUUUUUUUUCUUUUUCCACAAUUACCUUAAUAUCGUUAUCAAUUAAUAUUAGCACUAUUUUAAGAACAGAACUAUAAUUUCAAAAGUAUAUCAAAAGUACCAAGGUAUUGAAUUAUCAGUAGAUGUGCUCAUCAGUACAAGGAUUUACUAAGUCAAUAAAAAAUUGCAUAUUUAUUUAGUUUUACGAUAAGUAGAGUUUCUUUUUGAUCUGUUGAUUGUGUCUGUGUGCUUGUAGAUGUGAAGGUGAGGCUGAGUCAUCGAUCCCCUCUGUUGGCGUUCUGUGAUGCCAUCAUGGCCUCUGUAGGCGCCGUUGGGUGUAAGCCGGCCGGCGAGCUGUCCACUGAGUGUGUGGAGUGUGCCUUAAACGAAAACCGACUGGAUCUGCUGUCUCACUGGAUAUCUCAGGACAGACUGAUGCUGAGUAGACAGAUCGGUGACCUGAUCAGCAGACACUGUGGCUGUAAGGUGCCCUGUAAGUGUGGCUGCCAGGCGCUGGCCCAGAAUGUCUACACCAAGCUCCACCUCCACCACCAAGCCAUCAUCUGUCUCCUCAAGCAGGGCAGGGUACACGCUGGAAUCGAGUACGCCAAACACAAGUCCCCGUUCACAAAGGAGAUGUAUGUGGAGGUGCUGAGAAUGUGUCCCUCUCUACAACUGAUGCAUGCCCUGGUGGCAGCAGACGACCAAGGAUCCAGACCGCUUCCUGUGGGAGUGGUCAUACUGACUGUGCUAGAGAACAACAGCUUUGAUCUGGUUCUACCGUUCAUUCAGGAACUACAAAACAGAACGGCAGACGAUGACCCAAAUACGAGUCUGUUCCACGAUGCUGUGUUGGAUGACAUGGAGACGAGUACAGAUGAGUGGGACAGCCUGGUGAAGAUUCUACAGGACCAGGGCUACGAGGAGACGGCCACCAAUGUCCUCUCCACCAUCACUGUCAUGUCUGCCAUGAAAACUGUCCUCUAUAAGAGUCUAGCAGACGACAGACCCGACAGUGCUGCCACCCAGGGAUGAGUGCAUGGUGCUGCCACCUAGUGGUGAAUAAUACUGGUGCGUUGCUUCCAGAGUGAAGGACGGGAUCUUGUGAUCAACGGAGAUAUAAGACUGGAGAGCAAUCCGUGUAUUUCAAUGUUGGCUGUGUAUAUUUGUUUAGGGAAUAAAUUUUAUAUUUG